CCCUUAGAUGUUCUGGGCCGCACACGCGCUACACUGAAGGAGGCAGCGUGUACUCCUGGAUCGAAAGAUUUGGGUAACCCGCGAAUCUCCUUCGUGCUAGGGAUUGAGGUUUGCAAUUAUCCUUCAUGAACGAGGAAUUCCCAGUAAGUGCAAGUCAUAAGCUUGCGCUGACUACGUCCCUGCCCUUUGUUCACACCGCCCGUCGCUACUACCGAUUGAAUGAUUUAGUGAGGACUUCGGACUGGGACCGAUGCGGCUUUCGGGCUGCGUCGGUAUUCUGGAAAGAUGUCCAAACUGUAUCAUUUAGAGGAAGUAAAAGUCGUAACA
rnacentral:rRNA from 1 species